AGUGAACGCUGGCGGUAGGCCUAACACAUGCAAGUCGAACGGCAGCACAGUAAGAGCUUGCUCUUACGGGUGGCGAGUGGCGGACGGGUGAGGAAUACAUCGGAAUCUACUUUUUCGUGGGGGAUAACGUAGGGAAACUUACGCUAAUACCGCAUACGACCUACGGGUGAAAGCAGGGGAUCUUCGGACCUUGCGCGAUUGAAUGAGCCGAUGUCGGAUUAGCUAGUUGGCGGGGUAAAGGCCCACCAAGGCGACGAUCCGAAGCUGGUCUGAGAGGAUGAUCAGCCACACUGGAACUGAGACACGGUCCAGACUCCUACGGGAGGCAGCAGUGGGGAAUAUUGGACAAUGGGCGCAAGCCUGAUCCAGCCAUACCGCGUGGGUGAAGAAGACCUUCGGGUUGUAAAGCCCUUUUGUUGGGAAAGAAAAGCAGCAGGUUAAUACCCCGCUGUUCUGACGGUACCCAAAGAAUAAGCACCGGCUAACUUCGUG
rnacentral:rRNA from 1 species